UAAAUCAUAACAAUAAUAAUAAUAAUGUAAUGUGAUAGUAAUAAUAAUAUUAAAAUGAUUAAUUUAAUGAUAAAAUAACUAAAAUAACAAAUAAAGGAUUAAAUUGAAAACUAAACUAAAAUUUAGGGUCGAAACUGUAAAUAAAUAAAGAAAGGAUUGCCAGUGAUCGAAAUGAAAUGCACUGAGAAUAUGGGGGACUGGCCGCGCAAUAUUCCCUCGUCCUUAUGCGCAUCAUUUUGUGCAGGACUGGAUUGGAACAAGCGAAAAAUUAUGUGGCCAAAAUUAAAAUGAAACAAAAAGGCAGCAAUGAAUGCGCCGCAGGAUUAGAGGGACCAAAGGCGCAAAUUACCCAUCAGGGCAAGCAUUCGCAUGUCUCCCCCCAAACGGCGUCGUUUUAUUACUGUCAUUUAAACACCAUUUUUUUUUCAUUUUUCCCCUUUCACACUAAAAAAAACUGCAGAACCCCUCAUGUUCCCCAUGCCCUCCGUCGAUCAGUCCCCUCGCCGUCGCUCAUCCGUCCGCCACACCGCCACUAAACCGACGGCCGACGAAUGGGCCUUUAAAGCCUAGCCUUCUGGCGAUUUGAAAAGUCUGGUCUUUGAACCCCAUAAGCGCCGAGACUGAGGCUCAUAGCCCCCCUCCGGAUCCGGGUCAACGACGGAGAACCACGCACCGACGGCGCGAACGCGAGGUAUCUCCGGUGAGCCCCUUUUCCUUAUUUUGUUUUUGUUUAAAAAAAAUUUAUUAAAAUAGAGUAAAACAAAAUAAAAUAACAGAUCUGGAGAAAAAAAAUAGUUUUCUUUUUAUUUCUAAAGUUCAUGAAAUUGCCAGAAGAGGAGAAGGGACAUUACAAUGUUUUCGUUCGGACUAUAUAGCCGAUUUUACAACCCCUAAGCUUCUAUUUUUGUCGUUUUGCUAUUUGGCUGCUUGUUGUUGCGUGUUUAUUGCUGUUUUGCAGGUGUUUUGACGUGUUGAUGAGGCCUGGUGCGCAUGCGGUGGUUGGCGGCUUGGGGGCAAGCAGCAGCUAGGGUUUUCUGUUGCUGAAAUUUUUUAAUUUCCUGGGCUAGGGUUUAGGUUUGUUGGGUAAUGGGCCAUUGUUUUAUUUUUUCUACUGGGCCGGCAAAUUUGGGCUUCUACAAUAAUAAUAGGACAAAGUCUGAACAACUGAUGCAAUUACAACUUAAGCCAUAUUUAGAGGCGAAUUCAUGAGGUUAGUAGGGGCUUCGGUCCACCUAAAAUGGAAAAUUAUUGUUUUGGCCUUUUAGAAAAUUUUAAAAUUUUAAAAUUUUAAAUUAAUAAAGGUAAAAUUGUUCUUUGACCCCCCUAAAAUUAUGAAAAUUUAAUUUAAUCAUUUAGAAAUUAUAAAGAUAUAGACUAUUAAAAAUUAAAAUUUCAUUUCGACCCCCUAAAAAAUUUCUUUGACUUCGUCACACCUAGGCCACCACAUGAGGUUCAGAUUUUGCUCAAUUUGUUUUUUAUUAUGUUAGUUAAUUAGUAAUUUUUAUAUAAAUAGUAAAUAUGCUUAUUUUGGAAUAAAUUGGUUAGCAAUUUACAUUUAGUUAACUAAAAGAAAUAAUUGGAAAUAUUGACUCAUUCACGG
rnacentral:lncRNA from 1 species